rnacentral:ncRNA from 18 species
UGAUUUGGAAUGAACCAUGCUUGUAGGGUGAUCAGAAUAAAAACAGGUAUAACUCCCUUAAUACCGAAAUAACACGGUCAGGAAAGCGGUGCCAUAAUCCGUGCCGCCUUACCAACCUCAGUAAAAAGUAUAAGUUUUCUUAUUUCACAACUCAUUGGGCAAUAGCACAGCAUUCCCUAUCGAAAUGCAGAUUAAAUAUGUCAUUAUCACAAGCGAAUGGGAGGUGUUUCACGAAAACUGAGAAACGCGAAUUUCUGCCUGAUAAACAUCGGAAUACGUACUAUUGGCACCUAAUUUCGAAGAGGUAAAUCCCUACUUUUCAUGACAUAAAUAAAGAACAAAACGCCGAACCAUCAGUAUGACGGCACAGCGUUUUGUGUUACUGCUUAGAUGCAGAUUAAUGCAGUAGCGAAUGGUUUUAAUUC